rnacentral:lncRNA from 10 species
GCCAGUCAUGACAGUCCCUCCUACCACAGGCCUGAAGGCCUAGGAGGGAAAAAUAGUUCUGUGGCUCAGGCCCAGGGCCCUGCUGUUUUCUACAGCUGAAGGACACGGCACCCUGCAUUGUAGCUGCUCCAGUUCCAGCCAUGGCUAAAAGGGGCCAAGGUAUAGCUCAGGCCAUUGCUUCAGAGGGUGCAAACCCCAAGCCUUGGCAGCUUCCACGUACUGUUGGGCCUGUGGUGUGCAGAGGGCAAGAGCUGAGGCUUGGGAACCUCUGCCCAGAUUUCAGAGGAUUUAUAGAAACACCUGGAUGUCCAGGCAGAAGUCUGCUGCAGGGGUGGAGCCCUCAUGGAGAACCUCUACUAGGUCAAUGGAGAAGGGAAAUGUGGGGUUGGAGCCCCCAGAGUCCCCACUGAGGCAUUGCCUAGUGGAGCUGUGAGAAGAGGGCCACCGUCCUCCAGACCCCAGACCCACCAACAGCUUCCACCACGUGCCUGGAAAAGAUGCAGGCACUCAACGCCAGCUCAUGAAAAUAGCCAAGUGGGCUAUACCCUGCAGAGCCACAGAGGCAGAGAUGCCCAAGGCCUUGGGAGCUCAUCCCUUGCAUCAGCAUGCCUGGAUGUGAGACAUGGAGUCAAAGGAGAUUAUUUUCGAACUCUGAGAUUUAAUGACUGCCCUGCUGGGUUUCAGAUUGGCAUGGGGCCUGCAGCCCCUUUGUUUUGCCUGAUUUCUCCCUUUCAGAAUGGGGGCAUUUACCCAAAGGCUGUAGCCCCAUUGUAUCUUGGAAGUAACUAGUUUGUUUAUUAGAGUAUUAUGCAUCCAUUACAAAAACAAGAGUUAUAAUCUUAGACUGGGAGGGAUUUCCCCAAGGUAACGGCAAAGAAGAAAAAUUAGUAUAUUAAAAACAAGAAUGUACAUAACAAAUUUUUACAUUAAUAUGAGGUAUAUGAUCAUGUUAGUAUAGGUAAAAAAAUUAAGGUAUUUUAAAAGGUGACAUUAUGUUCCAGCUGACAGUAUCAGGAAGGUAGACUGGCACAGCAUGGCCUCGGCCUGUUUCUGUACAACCCAGGAGCCAAGAACGCUUUCUACAUUUUUAAAGUGGUGUAAGAAAAACAAAGACUGUGACAAAGAGCACAUGUGGCCAGGAAAAUCUAAAGUAUUUACUACUUGGACCUUUAGAGAAAAAGUUUAACUCCUACUCUCAAGGGUACCAUGUAGGACCCUGAAUCUUAACCAAGAUGGAAACAAACCAUUAUAGAAAUGAGUUAAUUUGUUUUGAAUUUUCUGUUGACUCUUUCUUCUUAUCCAGCAGCAUCCUUAGCUACACAGUUGCGACGGUGGCUUUUGAUGUCAGUCUUGAGGACUCAAGAAACUAUCAAAAUGUUUGGAUUCACAUAAAUGUCCAACUUGAAGAUUCUACUUUAAGACUGUGGCUAUGUCAAGAGAUUGUUUGGGUGCGAGAGUAUGGGACAGAAUGGGAGGAUAAGAAGAUGGACAUAUGAAUACAAGGGUGUCUCACUUGAAAAUGCUGCAUGAGGAAGACCAGUUAUAAUGUUGGCAUUGGUCAUUUUUGAUACUUACUUUAGCUGAUUGGCUAUUCUUAUCUUUUAGGAUUAAUGGCUACCCAUCUAUGAAUACUCAAGGACAGCUAAGCAGUUAAAACAGGCAUCCAUCAGAUGAGAAACAGUAUUCUAGAAUACCCUUCAAUUACACAGAUUUAUUCUACACCUAUUAGCUGCCUCAGGGUGAAUUGAAGAGAGCAAAGAUCAUGCAUCUAUUACCCAAUUCAUUCAGAGAGAAAAGCAAGUCAAGGAAAUUGACACAGAAGCAUAAUUGAGAGGUCUGAGGGGGCAAUCAUGGGGCAGUGCCUCUGAAACAGACUGAAUGAGCAAAAACAAACAAUGGUAGGUGAAUAUGGAAAGUGAGAAGAGGUUGAGGGGACAGAUACCUUAGGACCUAAUAGACCACUUUAAGUACUUUAAACUUACUAUGUGUGAAAUGGGGAGCCACAGGAAAGCUUAAACAGAGAAGUGAUGUGUUCUGACUCAUGUUCUAGAAGGGGCUCCCUGGCUGCUGUGUUCCUGCAGCACAGUUCUCACCUGAACAUCCAUCUCUUGGGGUUUCUGUCUCCACCAUCAAAAGCUUUUCUUCUCUCUCCAGCUGGGAUAUUAGGUCUGGCUUGAAGGGCUGAUGUGCUGUAAAGAAGGAAAGGACAGCAAAAGUUUUUAAGUUUGAUGACAUUCAAUUGGUCAAAACUAGACAAAAAGGCUCUCACUUUUCUGCCUGUGCCAGCAUGCAGUGGCAUGAUCACAGCUCACUACAACUGCAGCCUCAACCCCUGGGCUCAAGCAAUCCUCCCACCUGGGCCUCCAGAGUAGCCGGGACCAUGGGUGUGCAUCAUUAUGCCCAGCUAAAUUUUUUGUAGAGACAGGGUCUCCCUGCAUUGCCCAGGCUGGUCCUGAACUCCUGGGUUCAAGCAAUCCUCUUGCCUUGGCCUCCCAAAGUGCUGAGAUUACAGGUGUGAGCCACCACGCCUGGCCAUUAUUUUCAUUAAACCUUCCUUCUUGUGUUUCUUCUUAUAAAAAUAAGUAUAUAUAUAAAAUAUAUAUUAUUUUUAUAUAUUACAUAUAUUUUUAUAUAUAUUAUAUAUAUUUCAUAUAUGUAUA